GAAAACUAUGCAUCAUAACUUGUGGAGAGGACAAGAUUGUUAUGGUUUACUUUACUUGGCAUAUUCUUUCGGUAUAAAAACAAUGUUGGACUGCAUUUGUGAAAGUUCAUUUCUGUGCAGGUGUGGAAUGCUGUCGCUGGUAAUAAGCUGUAUACUUUUGAAGGGCAUAAAGCACCAGCUUACUCCAUGUGCCCUCAUAAUAAGGAAAACCUUCAUGGCCUGUUUCUCAUGCCUCAGCCAGAGUUUUAGGCUCAGGCUAUUAUUCA